rnacentral:misc_RNA from 1 species
UUGAAAUCGAAUACUAUUACUUCCGUAUGCUUGAGUUCAUGUAUAACACUAUUGUUUUGUAUUGUGAUUACUUUGCGAGGUACUUAUGAUGGUGCGACCAUAAGGCAAAGCCACAAGAAUGAAUUAGAGACGGCCCAAUGAUAUUCAUGCGGAGGCGUGUUAAGCACAAUACAGAGAAAUGAAGCAUCGGAAGAAUCAUCACGACAUGAGAUAUAAAGAAUUAAGUGGGGGAGUAUGCAGAUGAUUGAACA